rnacentral:lncRNA from 1 species
CAAGAGAGUAAUUUCCAAUCGAUAGUUUUGUUAUUCAGGUUGGUUAUAGCUGACAAAAUUGUUUAUUCUCGGAUACAAGAGAUUUAAGAAAAUUUUGAUUUCUAUUCAUUUUGUUUUAUCUCACUCUUUGUUUUCAAAAGAAAAUAUAACAAGAUUAAAGACACCGUUUGAGUAGUUUUUAGGUGAUCUUCAACAGAAGCCAUAAUCCUCACUUUAUACACACCCAAGCUCAUUAGUGUAAAUCACAAAUUAAUAGGGCUCUUCACGGUUAGUUCGGCCAUAUUGGAUAGGGGGCAGAUUUUCAUAAUGGAGGUACAAAUGGUGUGAAAAAUACGGGAACACAUCAUUAAAACAGAGCUGUUGCUUGGAAACACACAUAGGAUUUCCCAUACUUUUAUACUAUUUUCACCUCUUUCUAAAAAAUCUGCCCCCUAUCCAAUAUGGCCGAACUAACUGUGAAGAGCCCUAUUGUUUUGUAAACAUUCUAUAAAAAAUUUUAAAAGAUAAUUUUAGGUUAACACUCAUGGAAAUAGCAUGUUAUAAAUCAAUACAGUGGUCAGUGACCAGAAAUUUAAUUAUACGUGUAUUGUCAGAUUAACUCUUCAAUCCAUUUAAAUCCCGGAGGUCAUGUUUUGACAUAUAUAUGUGUAUUAGUUCGAGUUAGAAAAUGAAUUUUGAAUGCUUUUGUUAACCUUGGGACCGUAAAUUUGGUUCGACUCAACCGAAAUUUCGACUCGUCCAAUUUCGACUCAUCAGGAGUUGAAUUACAUACUUUUGUAUGGAAUAAAGUUCGGGACCACAUGAAAACUUUGACUCAUCCGAAAUUUCAAGACAACUGAGUUUGAGACAACGAGAGUUAACUGUAUAUGCAAUAGGUCAACUAUAUUUGGUGUAUGGAAAUAUUUUAUGAUUUAUUUGUCUGUAGCGCA